UGAAUAAUAUAUAUAAUUUACAAUUACAUUGACUUAUAAAAAUAUCCUUCGAUAUCAUCUCGAAAAAAAUCACAGAUAUUUGAACAAAAAUAAUCUCAAAAAUCGAAUGUCAAUAGUCGCAAAAGCUUUCGAAACAACAAAAGACUAAAUUCACUCAGCGUAGGAACAGGAGUGAUAAAAAAAGACGAAAGUCAAAUGUAUUUCUUUACCGCGAACACAUACCACGUGCGUUCGAUUGCACUCUUAUUUUCAAAUAGAAGAUUAUUUUCUUUCUCGCCAAUGAUAAUCAAUAAUAAAUGUUCUUUAAAAUCAUUGAGAAAAUCUGUGGAUAUAUAUAGGACAUCCAAAAUACGAUUUAAAGUGUGACGAGGUGCGAAAUUGCAACGAUGUUUGAACAAAUUAUCGAAAUCGUUACAUCUGUUCCCUGAAUUUGUUCAUCCGAGACUGAUUCUCAAAUCUAAAAACAUCAAACAUGCCUGAGUGCGUGAUUUGUGGAGGUACAGAAUUUUAUGUCGAGGCAGGUUUUUACUUUUGCCAGGAAUGUCAAACGCAGACCCAGGAUGUACGUGAGGAAAUACUAGAUGUAAAGUACGAUGCCACAACUCGAUUAAGAAAGCUGCGAAUACAUUCCAAUAAAACAAAUGAAUCCCAGGAACCUUUGGGGUGGACAACUUGGGAACAGUACAAUUUCAUAUUGCUUGGUAUGGUGAAUGAAUUUGUAGAGCUGGGAGCCUCCAUUGACAUAAAACUGACAAUCCUACAGCUCUGGGCAGCUUAUCUGAAGAAGCUUGAGGUAGCUUUCACAUCGACGAAGCAACAAAAAGUCCCAAAAUUAGCAAAAAAAUAUAACAAGAGAGAUGCUGAAAUAAUUUAUGGAAAAAUAGCAGAACGCAAAAAGAAGCAAAGACGACGCACCGGCAGUCACACUAGCGCUUCAUCCUCAGUUUCGGGAUUGCAAAGUGAAGAUAACUCAACUAGGAUGAUGAAUCAACAGAAGAAACGAAUGAUAGCAGCGGAGUACGAGCGAUAUGUUAAUGAGAGUUCUGAGGGUGAGGAAGCGAGCGUUAUGAAUCAGAGUUUGUACAGCGUACAGUCGAGCACAGGGAGAUCGUCGAACAGAUCAGAACUUCGAUUUCGAUUUAACAAGGCAGCGAAAAAAGAGUCCGAUAAGAUAAGAAGAAUGUCAAUGAAGUUGCCACGACAAAUUCGUGAAAAGUUCCGUGAAACGUACAGACGAAGUGUAUUUUGUGAUGGGCCGCAAAUUAUGACGCCUAUGCAAUUGUGGUCGUUGAUUUAUCUCGCGCUUCGAAUCCACGACGAAAAUAUCCAGUUGGGAGAUAUGUUGAGGUGGGCACGAGAAGGACACUUGUCAUACUAUAGAUUGGAUAAUUUGCUACCACCGGAAGUGACUCUAACGAGAAAGGAAGUAAACAUGCUGUAUCAAAGGGGAGAAAUAAAGCACAAAGGCUUGAGGCGAUCGAUUGGAAACCUCGCGAGAUUUCUGGACGUUUGGGAAACGAAAAAACCGGAUCUCAUGACACUGAUAGAGAGAUAUUGCACCGAGCUGCAGUUGCCAAAAGGAAUAGCAAGUUACGCAGAACGAAUGAUGGCAUUGUCGCCACCAAGAAUGCUGUUUAAUGACAAAACAACGUGGUUCCCGAACUACGAAGGCAGAGCGAUGGCAUUUAUCGUCGUAGUGCUGAAAAUAUUGUUCGCCCUUGAUGGAGUCACCGAGUACGAGAUCAGUCGAGUAGUUGAAAGGAUCAAUAAAGCUGCCAGAGCGAAAGGUUUGACCAGAUCGAAACUCUUCAGUUUUUGCGAAUGGCAACGCUACAUCGAGUGUCGUCGGAAUCUAUUGACGAACGUUCAUUAUCCAACGAAAUUGAAGAGAGCUUCUGACACUCCUGGCAACAGCCAUCUGUUCUUGAAUUAUUUCAAUGCUAUUAAAGCCAGAAGUAGCCACAGAGAGGAGCCGGAAAUCACGUCGUAUCAUCAUCUGAUGCCUCGAGAUCUCACUGACGCGAUGAAAAAUAUAUUCGAAAAAUUGGACGAGACCGCGAGCCCGGCUCAGAAAGAAGUCGAAAUAUUUCCAGCCUCGCUAACACCGCAAUAUUCCUAUUUGCAACGUAUGCUGGAACAUCCUGAAAAAGAUUUACCGUCCGUAUUACACGCGAAUUUCAGAGCAAUGAAAAUUGGUUAUAUAACAGAGCCAAAAACGCUUGAAACUUUGGCUGCGCAUUGCAAUAUCAAUCUGAGGAUCGUCGACGCCGGAUUACACUUUUUCGAUAAAGUUAUACCUCCUUAUCAGCAACCGAGGCUUCCAACUAUUCAAGAAUAUAACGAAAGAGUACAAAUUGAGCAGCCAAUCAAAACUGGAACUCAUUCUGAAGCUGAAGUUUGCAACGAUCUCGAAGAAUAUCUUCAUCGCAAAGGUCCCUUCGUUCUUCACAUCGAUCCAUCGAAACGUGACGAGUACAUGGGAGUUUUCGAAGCUUCGGAAAAACGUCGUUCAAACUCGAUGAACAAUUCCUUCGAUUUUUGUUUCGACGAAGUAUUACCAAAUGGCAAGCUUCUAGUGAUCAAUGACGAAAGUUCCCGGCCUGUGACUGCGAUAGAGACUGGCAAUGAUUUUGAAACCGGCAGCAAUAACGAACCCCAUCGAAUAAUGGAUUUUCUUGAAAAGUGCAACUUCCGUAUGUCGAGGUUCGAAAAGUCCACGCUAAUUACGACUUUGGAGGGCAAGUCCAUACAGCCUCGACUUCGUAAACCAAAACCUGAAACAAGGCGAGACCCUUCAACGGGAAAAUUCGUCCGGGCUGAGGCUUCAGUUCAUGAAAAAGCUGCGGAAGACACUCCAUUCAGAAAAUCGAACGAGAAGAUAUCGUCUUCAAUGAAUAAGAAACUUGACGAGGGCGAAGCUAACGAAAAGGAUGAGCCUGACGACGGAAAGCCCAUGCGCUGCAACGGUUUGGAUUCGAGUUACAAUUUUGGACUGAUCGACGACGACAUAUCCGUGUUAGACGAGACCAGUUCGGAAUCAUCCGUAGAAAAUCUGGGGGAAAAUGAUUUGCCGAGUGAGAAAGAUGAAACAGAAACUUUGUUCAGACCGUACACCGACUACUGGCUAUUACGUUGUAUAUUCAGUCAAACCCAUCAAGCGAAUUUCCAAGACGUUUUAAAAAUGCUUCCUUACAACUUUCGUUGGCUUUUGGAGGAGUGCAGCAGUAUCGUCGAGAUGUCAGAAGAGGAUCUUUACGAGGAAAUUCAUUUAGUCGAAUCGUAUUUCUCUGAUGUAUUGACACCGAAACAAAAUCCACCAGCAAGCAACAGCUACGAACGUCAGGAAUAUCGAUCGCGCUCUCACUGCAAUUACAUCAGAAAAAAGUGGUGAAUAAUGAUUGAGCUCGUAGCAAUGAAAAUCGACGAAGAACGACAAAAAUACUUCUCAUGUGCCACGUACACCGAGCUUAUAAAUCAUCCACGUGGCACAUGGGAAAAUAUAUUUUUCUAUUCUUUCAACGCAGCUGCUACGUUAUUGACAAGCCUCCUCCAAGUACGCGUUCUUCCUCUCGGCAUAUUCACGGAUUCGAGGAAGCGAGGGGGAGAGUAGAGACUGGCAGAGACAGCGAUAGCGGACGUCAGGUCGAACUAGGUGCAUCGUCUCUAGAAGGUAAAUAAAAAACGAAGAAAAAUCGUUCUGAUACGGUCGGAGGCAACUGUUGCGCUCGAGUUUCGAGGAAGCGUUCGGUAAAAUUCGGAAAGACUCGGGCGUCUCGUCUGCUGCGUUUCGUCCCUUUACUACUUGGUUCUGUCCCGAGGUACGGGUUUUACUGUUGCGUACACUUGCGGCGACGCUCUCGCGAAGGCACCACACACUGUGGAACACGGCGCAGGAGUUUGGUGGAGGAGAGAAAUCGUGUGUUGGAGAAAGACCGAGAGAAAUAAAUAUAUGUGACAAGGGGGAAAAGGAGAUAAAAAUAAAAAAAAUAGGCUGGCGCAGUGUGUCUACCGAGGCACAACUGUCGUUGGUGCACGCAGCGGGGCAACAUUUUUCGAUAGUAAACACAUCGGUUGUGCUUAAACGAGCGGAAAGGUCAAAAAAAUUCGCUUUUUCGUCAGAUUUAUAAUAAAAAUUGAGAAAAACA
rnacentral:misc_RNA from 1 species